UGAGUCCAGUGACACAUAACAUUCAAUUAUGAGGAUUCAGGAAAUUAUGAUUAUUCAGUCAUUGAGGAUAUGAAAAGAGGCAUAAGGCAACAUGUUCUAUCAAAAAGUUUCGUUUGCAAAGUAGAUAAGCUUUAUUUUGAGUCUCCACCAAUUUAUUGUUCUCCUUGUGUUGCUCGGACAAAACGAAGUGCAUCAUACUAUACUGCUGCUGCUACUGAGAUUUGCCACAAUUUAUGUAUCCUGUGUUAGAAUGAGGCUCGCAGUUGCACGAUUCAGGUGGAAAGGUGGGUUAUGUGUGACAAAUGUGAACGCUGGAAGCAUCAAAUUUGUGCCCUUUUUAAUUUCAAAAGGGCCGAUUAUAAAGAAGCAAAAUGUACUUGCCCUUAAGUGUUGUUCUUGGGGCUAAAGAUUUGCCAAGGGCCGUGCUUAGCAAUCAUAUACAAGAACAACUCUUUAAACCGUUCAGGGAAGAGAGACACGAACAUGCCGUUCAUCAUGGGAAAAGCUUUGAUGAGAGAUGACGAGAUCCACUUUCUUUUGAAAAGGAGAAGGGAGGACAGAGAGAAUCAAAUCAAAGGAAUGUAACCAUCAACUUAUUACAUUUUUUCUUUAAGAACUAACAUUGUUGCUGGAACACACAAAACCUAUAUCGUUUUAGUAGAACAUCCAUUCUUAUUGUCAGCCUCUCACCUGCAGCAGUACAUACAAAUAAAUUCCUACCAGUAGGCAAAAACCAUGUGAAGCCCCUAAUCCUUCGCUGAUAUUUUUCCUAGGCAACUUCACAUGGAACUAGGAUCAGUUAAUAAGUUUCUGGUAUAUUUUCAAAUUUUCUUGCUUGAUGCAUGAACAUAUCAUCAAGAUUUCAAUCUCUUAUAUGUGCUUUUGCUGCUGUAGAUUUGUUGGUGUUGAUUUGCAGUAAGAGGAGAUGUACUAUUGUUCUCAUCAAUUUCUUUCAUACCAUGUGUAUGGUUAGUUCUUAAUAUUCUUCAUUAUUCAAAAUACCUGAACCCACUAGGAUUCAUUUAUUAUUAUUUACCUCCAAGCACUAUAUAUUACUGUUGUUUAUUGUCCACCUUGAUCCUUUGCUGAUGUUUUUCCUAGGAAACUUCACAUGGAGUUAGGAUCGCUUAAUAAGAUUCUGGUAUAUUCUGCAAAUUUUCUUGCUUUAUGCAUGAACCUAUCAUCAAUAUUUGGAUCUCUUAUAUGUGCAUGUGCUGUUGUAUAUUGGUCGGUGUUGAUUUGCAGUAAGAGGAAAUGUACUAUUGUUCUCAUCAAUUUUCUUUCAUACCAUGUUAUAGAAAUAUGUUGUUUAAAUAUGAAGAGGCGGAUAAGUUUCUGGCAUUAAUUACUGACUAUCCAGAUCCGGCUUGCUUCUCAGCCAUGGCCUACAUUUAGAAGAAAUAUGUUGUUGAAAUAUGAAGAGGUGGAUAAGUUUCUGGCUUUAGUUACUGAAUAUAUCCGGAUCCGGCUUGCUUCUCAGCCAUGGCCUACAUUUAGAAGAUAUAUGUUGUUGAAAUAUGAAGAGGUGGAUAAGUUUCUGGCUUUAGUUACUGAAUAUCCGGUUCCGGCUUGCUUCUCAACCAUGGCCUACAUUUAGAGAAGACAUGUUCAUUGUAAGAGAUUUUAGGUCAAUGAUCUCCCCCUGUUGUAAUGCUGAUCAUCUUAAUUCCGACAUUGCUAUAUGUUUGCACCAUGGUUCAUGACUGUACUUUUUUCACACGUCUUUACAAAGUUUGUCAGUAUUAUUAUGCAGAGAUAA